rnacentral:lncRNA from 1 species
GGAUUAAAACCCAGGUCUCCUGACUCCCAAUGUUCUUUCUAUUUCAUUACAGUACCCUUCUGUCAGGAGACAGUUUUAGAGUGGGCAUCAAGAAACUUGGAUUUAAGCCCUGUCUCUACAAGCAAUUACCUGUGCGAUCGUGCACAGAUUAAUUCACCUCCCUGGGCCUCAGUUUCCCCAUCUAUAAAAUGACAGGAUUGGACUAGAAGAUCCCUAAGGUCCUUUUCUGCUAACAUUCUAUAUUCUGUCAGUCUGCACAUUUCUGGAGCUUGAAGGAAAGGCAAAGAAGAGUGCCAAGCAUGCAGCAAUGGUGCUCAAAGCAUUUACCUGUCCCAGGCUGUCCAACUUCCAGAGACACAAACAAAAGUUCUUGUGCUAAGGGUUGCAGGUCACUCACUGACUCAGAGAUGCAGGGGCCAGUCACAACAUCUUCUUCCUAUUCAAGCUUGAUAAAACGGCCUUCUCCAACCUUCUCCACAAACCCCUCAAGUGACUGUGGCAGUAAGUGAGAGGAAUCGGGGAAUUUCAACCCAGGUCUUCAAAUAUUCUCUGGACUCCAGGAAACAGGACCCCAGUGCCAAGUAGAAAAAAUAAUUGAGCACUGCAUUUAUUUCAUGAACAUAUUACCUGCUUAUCUUAAAUGUGGUCAUUCGUAAAACAACCCCCUGGACCUCAUAGCUCCAGGGCCCCAGGACAUAAUCUUCCAUUGACAUUUCACAGAAUUUUCACUGUUGCUCAGGAGUUUCAGUCUUUGUGACUCCAUCUGGGAUUUUCUUGGCAAAGAUCCUGGAGUGGUUUAGCCAUUUCCUUCUCCAGCUCAUUUUGCAGACAAGGAACUGAGGUCAAUAUGGUUAAGUGACUUGCCCAGGGUCACACAGCUAAUACGUAACGUAUCUGAGGGCAGAUUUGAACUUAGGAAGAUGAAUCUUCCUGACUUCAGGCUUGGUGCCACCUAGCUGUCUUUUCACUGCUUACCCAGUAUGAAUUGUGCUUUACCCCCCCCAUCCACCCACCCACCCAAAGUGAGACCUUGUUGAAUUUCAGACUGUUCCAAAAGAGAAUGGAACUACUUACCUACCUCACAGAAUGAUGUAAUGAGAGCAAGAACAAUAAACUAAGAGUUAGGAAACCUAAAUUCUGAUCU